UGUUUCUCCAACGAUGAAUUGGAAGAAAAUUAUCAGACGAAUAAAGGAUUUGGAGGCCAUACAGUUGAUGAUUUUAAUUCACCCAGAAAAGCCUUAGAUACCCAAUAAUGUCUAAUUCACAUACGCGCUUAUUUCAUACAAUGGAUCAUACUUAUUAUGGUUAUCAAAACUGAAAUAUAUUACGUACCGCAUACAAGGAGCUAGGUAGUGGAGCCAAUGUAUUGACAAUUUUUCGGACGUUGAUUUUCUUGAAUAUAAUUCUGCAGACUCAGAUGAAGCCAUACACUAUUGGAGCGAAUUGUGAAACUCAAAGGUAAUACAAUAUUGAUGAGCAAGAAUCCAAUUUUAAUAACCCAGAGGGCUCAACAUAUUUAAAUUGCAAAGAAACACAUAACUAGUUUGGACAUUGGUAUCUUUUCUGAAGAGAAAGUGCAUCUAGUUGGACGCGUUAAACAGGUAAAGAUUGAGUGUAAUAUGUAAUUUAUUGGUUUACAGGUAGUCAAGCCCUAUUUGCCAUUUGCAACGAGUAGAGAAAAACUUCUUUGAAAAGAGAUUAUGCAAUUGCCAAAAAUCUUCAGUGGCUGUUAUUAAAAUUCUUCAACUAUCAACAAUGGACAUAAUUUAUGAAGACUUUAUUUUUAAGUUUUAUAAUAAAA
rnacentral:lncRNA from 1 species